rnacentral:rRNA from 1 species
GACGAACGCUGGCGGCGUGCUUAACACAUGCAAGUCGAACGGAAAGGCCCUGCUUUUGUGGGGUGCUCGAGUGGCGAACGGGUGAGUAACACGUGAGUAACCUGCCCUUGACUUUGGGAUAACUUCAGGAAACUGGGGCUAAUACCGGAUAGGAGCUCCUGCUGCAUGGUGGGGGUUGGAAAGUUUCGGCGGUUGGGGAUGGACUCGCGGCUUAUCAGCUUGUUGGUGGGGUAGUGGCUUACCAAGGAUUUGACGGGUAGCCGGCCUGAGAGGGUGACCGGCCACAUUGGGACUGAGAUACGGCCCAGACUCCUACGGGAGGCAGCAGUGGGGAAUAUUGCACAAUGGGCGGAAGCCUGAUGCAGCAACGCCGCGUGCGGGAUGACGGCCUUCGGGUUGUAAACCGCUUUCGCCUGUGACGAAGCGUGAGUGACGGUAAUGGGUAAAGAAGCACCGGCUAACUACG